rfam:Phascolarctobacterium sp. CAG:266 genomic scaffold, scf294
UGCAGCAACCAAGCGCAAGUGCCGCUUUUGGCGGCAGACGAGGCGGAGGUUUAUCGAUUAGUCAGCGGGUGCCUCCCGGCCGGCUGCGGGCCGUAAGCAGACUGACAAAGCCCCAUGGCAACGUGGGGGACAAAGCAGCUGCGGCAGAACUG